UCAUUGGUGCAGUGGACUGCACACACAUAAGGAUAAAAGCCCCCUCAGGUGCCCAUGAGGCCGAUUUUGUGAAUAGGAAAUCCUUUCACAGCAUUAAUGUUCAGAUGGUCUGCAAUGCUGACUGUGUGAUCAGCAAUGUUGUGGCAAAAUGGCCUGGCUCAGUCCAUGACUCCAGAAUCUUUCGGGCCUCUGAAAUCUAUCACAAGGUGAAUUCUCUGGUGUGUUGCAGGGAGACAGGGGGUAUGGCUGCCAGCCUUUUCUCCUGACACCUUUCACAGACCCCCAGGAAGCACAGCAGGCCUACAACCAUGCCCAUGCCAGGACCAGGGCCAGAGUUGAAAUGACCUUUGGCCUCCUGAAGGCACGCUUUCACUGCCUUCACAAAUUAAGGGUCAGCCCUGUUAGGGCAUGUGAUAUUACUGUGGCUUGUGCUGUCCUCCACAAUGUGGCCUGCCUGAGGAAGGAGAGGGCCCCCAGAGUGCCACCAGCCAUGGACUGGGACAAUCCGGCAAUCUUCCCUGAUGACGACAGUGGUCGGCUGCUGAGGGACCAAUAUGUGUUGAAUUAUUUUAGUUAGUAUGUGUGCUUUCAAUUUUGGUUAAAUAUGUCCUGCGUGGCAGAGGAAUUUGGUUUUUUUUGGGUUCGUUUUUUUGACGAAUUUGGCCUCUUAUGAUGUUUGUGCGGUAUACUGUGUGUAAUACAAGGCUGCAGGGAGGCUACUGCAUCCAUUCAUUUGUCUGUUCAGUUGAUGUGUAUGGAUUUGUCCUGCAUUUAUUUUAGUGUGCAGACAUGCAGGGUGUGUUAUAUACAGACCUUUGAAUGUGUAUGUAUCAUUUUGUAUAAUAUGCUUGGAUUCUGUGCUUUCCAUCUUGUAGAGUCACUGUGACUUCAGUUUCGAAAGGAGCUGAUGGUUUACCUGCUUUGUUUUGUCCUUAUUCAAUAAAGGAACAUAAUGUUACACAUUGUGUUUUUAUAUUCAUAUGGAAUGUGUAUUUGUUUAUGACAGAGUACUA